rnacentral:misc_RNA from 1 species
UCUCCGUAGGUGAACCUGCGGAGGGAUCAUUACUGAGUGAGGGUUUAACCGCCCGACCUCCAACCCUUUGUGAGUCGUACUUGUUGCUUCGGGGGCGACCCUGCCGUUUCGACGGCGAGCGCCCCCGGAGGCCUUCAAACACUGCAUCUUUGCGUCGGAGUUUAAGUAAAUUAAACAAAACUUUCAACAACGGAUCUCUUGGUUCCAGCAUCUAUAAAGAACGCAGC